rnacentral:rRNA from 1 species
AGAGUUUGAUCCUGGCUCAGAACGAACGCUGGCGGCGUGCUUAACACAUGCAAGUCUAGGGGAAUUCGCUUUCGGGCGAUAGUACACUGGCGAACGGGUGAGUAACGCGUGAGAAACCUACCCCGGAGAUUGGGACAACACAGAGAAAUUUGUGCUAAUACCGGAUAAGCCCACGGGCUUAGUUAUUUGUGGGAAAAGGCGGGGCAACCUGUCGCUUUGGGAUGGUCUCGCGUGUCAUUAGCUAGUUGGUAGGGUAACGGCCUACCAAGGCAACGAUGACUAGGCGGCCUGAGAGGGUGGCCGCCCACACUGGAACUGAGACACGGUCCAGACUCCUACGGGAGGCAGCAGUGGGGAAUUUUGCGCAAUGACCGAAAGGUUGACGCAGCAACGCCGCGUGUAUGAUGAAGGCUUUCGGGUCGUAAAGUACUUUCAGUGGGGAAGAACUGCAUAAUCAGUAACUGGGUUAUGAUUGACGGUACCCACAGAAGCAGCCCCGGCUAACUCCGUGCCAGCAGCCGCGGUAAUACGGAGGGGGCAAGCGUUGUUCGGAGUCACUGGGCGUAAAGAGCUCGUA